rnacentral:rRNA from 1 species
CAGUCGCCACGGGAAUACAGAGGGUGCAAGCGUUAAUCGGAAUUACUGGGCGUAAAGCGCGCGUAGGUGGUUUGUUAAGUUGGAUGUGAAAUCCCCGGGCUCAACCUGGGAACUGCAUCCAAAACUGGCAAGCUAGAGUAUGGUAGAGGGUGGUGGAAUUUCCUGUGUAGCGGUGAAAUGCGUAGAUAUAGGAAGGAACACCAGUGGCGAAGGCGACCACCUGGACUGAUACUGACACUGAGGUGCGAAAGCGUGGGGAGCAAACAGGAUUAGAUACCCCCGUAGUCCCUGUCUCUUAUAU